UAGCUACUCCUGCCACCGAGAAGCCCCAUUGCCACGCCUUCCCCUCCCCGAUGGACGGUGUGCUUCAAACUGCGAGCCCCAGCAAACCCUUCUCCCCCAAGCUGCUUCUUGUCGUGUUCUUCGCCACACAGGAAGUAACCCGCUCGGAGAGUGUUGCAUGAGACAGUCACCACUUACGCUUUUCGGAGGAACGUAGUUGGGAUCUGGGCCUUUGGCUAUGGAGAGCUGCAGGAUUCUGGGAGACGGAUCAGAGAAACGGAGAACCUCUGGUGAAACUCAGAUUUUAAAAGGGCCCAUCACAGGGGGAAAGCACAGAGACUCCUUGGAAGAUCUGGCUUUCUCUCAGAGUCUCCAGGAGCCCGGCCUCCAGCUGUGCUGGUCACCAUUUCAGAGGACAAAGUGCUAGAGGGCGAAUGGACAUGCAUCCUGUGCACAGCUGGCAGGACACCAAAGGAUGCACUGGAUUUCAUGACACUGAAGACAUUGAGGAGUUUCUUCAUCCAACAAAAAUCACCGAGUUCUGCCUUCAUAAGAGUGUAAAGAGCCAAACACAGAGGCAUAUAUUAGAGUUGGACAUGUGUUUUAAAGAAAAUUAUCAGGUCAAAGACUGGUAUUUUUUUGUAUGAGGGAACACACACUUUGAAAGUCUCCUAGCAGAAGGAAAAUUGACUCCGUGCCCGUGUGCCCCGAGAGCAAAACAAU